UCAGCUCUCUUUGCCAAGUGGCUAAGAUCAAGUUGUAGUAUCUGUUCUUUUCAGUUUUAAUCUCUGAAACGUGUCUACCGGACACAUCUACGAUGAUUCUCGAUUUUUGCUACGCGUUCUGAGGCCGCUGAGCUGUGCUCAUGUCUCGGGACUAUCGUGUCGAUGGUAUCGCACUGCCCUCCUUCUGACGCGGAAUACAU
rnacentral:snRNA from 1 species